rnacentral:rRNA from 2 species
AGUGAAGCGGGAUGAGCUCAAAUUUAAAAUCUGGCUGGUUUACUAGUCCGAAUUGUAGUUUAUAGAAGCGUUUUCGGUGGCAGCCUGGGUAUAAAUCCUUUGGAAUAGGGUAUCAUAGAGGGUGAGAAUCCCGUCUUUGACUCAGUGCAUGCUACUAUGUGAUACGUUUUCAAAGAGUCGAGUUGUUUGGGAAUGCAGCUCAAAAUGGGUGGUAAAUUUCAUCUAAGGCUAAAUAUUGGCGAGAGACCGAUAGCGAACAAGUACCGUGAGGGAAAGAUGAAAAGAACUUUGAAAAGAGAGUUAAACAGUGCGUGAAAUUGUUGAAAGGGAAACGUUUGACACCAGUUAUGCGGGUGGAAAAUCAGUCUUUUGCAAUGGGGAGUUGUGGGCGUUCAGACCGCAAGGCUGGCGUUUGCUUCAUCUUUGUUGUAAGUGAUGCACUUUUUCAUUUGCAGGUCAACAUCAGUUUGCUUUGCUGGACAAAACCCCAAGGGAAGGUGGCAGCUUAGGCUGUGUUAUAGCCCUGGGGCGAUACAGUGGAGUGGACUGAGGUUUCGCAGUGUGUGCUCUCGGGCAAGGCUGACUGGGUGCUAUGGGAUCGUUCGGCGUACAAUGCAUGCAUUUUGCGUCGUGUCUUUUUCAUACUCGCUCAACUCGGCUCUUCCACGCUUAGGAUGUUGACUUAAUGGUUUUAAACGACC